rnacentral:rRNA from 1 species
GACGAACGCUGGCGGCGUGCUUAACACAUGCAAGUCGAACGAAGUGGCGAACGGGUGAGUAACGCGUAAUCAACCUGCCCUUCAGCGGGGGACAACAGUUGGAAACGACUGCUAAUACCGCAUACUGAAGGAGGGGAUUGCGUCUGAUUAGCUAGUUGGAGGGGUAACGGCCCACCAAGGCGAUGAUCAGUAGACGGUCUGGGAGGAAGAACGGCCACAUUGGGACUGAGACACGGCCCAGACCCCUACGGGAGGCAGCAGGAGGGAAUCUUCCGCAAUGGACGAAAGUCUGACGGAGCAAAGCCGCGGGAGUGACGACGGCCUUCGGGUUGUAAAGCUCUGUUAAUCGGGACGCGGUACCGGAAGAGAAAGCCACGGCUAACUACGUGCCAGCCGCCGCGGUAAUUC